rnacentral:rRNA from 1 species
CGCAAGGGGAGCGGCAGACGGGUGAGUAACGCGUGGGAACGUACCUUUUGCUACGGAAUAACUCAGGGAAACUUGUGCUAAUACCGUAUGUGCCCUUCGGGGGAAAGAUUUAUCGGCAAAGGAUCGGCCCGCGUUGGAUUAGCUAGUUGGUGAGGUAAAGGCUCACCAAGGCGACGAUCCAUAGCUGGUCUGAGAGGAUGAUCAGCCACACUGGGACUGAGACACGGCCCAGACUCCUACGGGAGGCAGCAGUGGGGAAUAUUGGACAAUGGGCGCAAGCCUGAUCCAGCCAUGCCGCGUGAGUGAUGAAGGCCCUAGGGUUGUAAAGCUCUUUCACCGGUGAAGAUAAUGACGGUAACCGGAGAAGAAGCCCCGGCUAACUUCGUGCCAGCAGCCGCGGUAAUACGAAGGGGGCUAGCGUUGUUCGGAUUUACUGGGCGUAAAGCGCACGUAGGCGGACUUUUAAGUCAGGGGUGAAAUCCCGGGGCUCAACCCCGGAACUGCCUUUGAUACUGGAAGUCUUGAGUAUGGUAGAGGUGAGUGGAAUUCCGAGUGUAGAGGUGAAAUUCGUAGAUAUUCGGAGGAACACCAGUGGCGAAGGCGGCUCACUGGACCAUUAC